ensembl:lncRNA
GUGUAUUUUAGUUCAGAAUCACCAAAACAGCUAAAUUGCUUUAUUUAAAUUUCCCUAAGUAACCACUGAGCAUGUCAUCGGAAAACAAAUCCAACAUCUAAAAAAAAAAAAUCUUUAUCCGUUAUUGAGUCAUUUCUAUCUGUAGGUGGUGAAUUUUCAAUUCUGCAGUGAAAAAAUUUGAUGGAUUCUAGCUGUAUACUACUUUGUGAAACACAUAUUCUAAAACUCAAGGAAUAUGCAGCCAUUACAUGCAGGAAGAGGGAGCUUUUGCUGUUGUCACUGAAGACCACUGAGAUGUAUGUUGAUCAGGGAACAAAAGUGGCAGUGAAGAUCUCACAAUACCAAAACUAACAUUAGGUGCUACAGUUCAUAUCUUCCUUAGUUUUUACGUAGUUGAAGAUGUUGUUUUUAUAUGCAUCCAUACUCAUUCCAUACAGGAAACAUCUUUCUUGAAGAUUAGAAGGUUAAUACAUUAUUCUGUCAGAAAACUUCUGCAUUUUAUUACAUCAAACUAACUAAUUUCCAUUGCAAUUUUUCUCCUCUCUAGCUCAAUCCCUGUAUCCAAUGAAGAUAAUAAAUUCAGAAAGUGAAUUCAGAAUUCUGAUACAUGAGAGUUCACAUCAGAAUUCCCAGCAAACUCAUGAUAUUGCCAAGCCAAGACAAAACUGGUAUUUCCUGAGACAUACUGACUACAGUGGACACAAGGUUGAGCACACAAUGUCUCAGACACAAGCAGAUAUAAAGAAGCUUUUUCAAGAUGUUUUGCAGCAACUGACAAGUCAUCACCGAAUUGUUUCUUGAAUUAUAUGUGUGUCACAUACAUCUGGGAUGGACAUUAAAAAUAUUCCAAUUUCA